rnacentral:RNase_P_RNA from 1 species
CGGGGUAAGGGUGAAAGGGUGCGGUAAGAGCGCACCGCGCGGCCGGCAACGGGCGCGGCAUGGCAAGCCCCGCCGGGAGCAAAACCGAAUAGGGAUGGCGGAGCCCGCAAGGGCUCGGGCCUGUCUUCAGGCCUUGUCAUCCGGGUUGGUUGCUCGAGGCGGUCGGCGACGACCGUCCUAGAGGAAUGGCCGUCACGCCGGCGCCCGCGAGGGUGGCCGGCCUUACAGAACCCGGCUUACAGGCCGGCUGGCGCC